UACGUAGGCAGCGAGCGUUGUCCGGAUUUAUUGGGCGUAAAGAGCUCGUAGGCGGCUUGUUGCGUCGGCUGUGAAAUCCCAUGGCUCAACUGUGGGCUUGCAGCCGAUACUGCGGGGCUAGAGUGCAGAAGGGGCAACUGGAAUUCUCGGUGUAGCGGUGAAAUGCGUAGAUAUCGAGAGGAACACCUGCGGCGAAGGCGGGUUGCUGGGCUGACACUGACGCUGAGGCGCGAAAGCUAGGGGAGCGAACGGG
rnacentral:rRNA from 1 species